rnacentral:rRNA from 1 species
UACGUAGGGUGCGAGCGUUGUCCGGAAUUAUUGGGGCGUAAAGGGCUCGUAGGCGGUUUGUCGCGUCGGCUGUGAAAACCCGGAGCUCAACUCCGGGCCUGCAGUCGAUACGGGCGGACUUGAGUGUUGCAGGGGAGACUGGAAUUCCUGGUGUAGCGGUGAAAUGCGCAGAUAUCAGGAGGAACACCGGUGGCGAAGGCGGGUCUCUGGGCAACUACUGACGCUGAGGCGCGAAAGCGUGGGGAGCAAACAGG